AGAUGAGAUAUAGAACUAAAACUUUCAUGAGGAACACAAACCCAAAUUAUGCUAUUAACCAAGUCAUUUGGCCACCCCAAGUUGGUGACCUAAAACUGCGAAAACCAAAAUUGCCCAGAAAAUCUGGGUUGAGUCCAAUCCGGCAGCCAUGGUUCAAAUGGCUAUAACUUGAGCUAUAAAACUCCAAUUGGAGUGAUUCAAAAAGGAGAAUAAACUUAAGACAAUAGGGAACAUUUUCCAUGAAGAAAGUUUUGUCAAAUUCCAAUAGUAAGGUGACCAAUGGAACAGUGCAACCUUAGACACCAAAAUUGAAAAUUUAUCAAAUUUGCCUAAAAGACUUAGAAUUUGAAUAAACAACCAAAACCAACAAAUUUAGUGACCAAAAUGUGGUAUGUGGGUGAAGUUAGAAUUUCCAUACCUAUUAAGCCUUAGAAAGUCAACAAUUUGACUUGAAUAGUGUAGUGAAUAGUAACCCCGAAACACAAAAUUUCAAGAACGUCGAGUUUAGCACGUUAGAGCUAGGUAAAAGUGAAGUUAAAUUUAUUUUUGGAUUUAUGCUAAGUUAUGGUACUGAAACACUGUAAAAUUGUGUGUUUCAGUUGAAAAGAAUACCGGGAAAGAACCCGAGGAACCGAGUCAAGGCCAAGAGGCGACUCGCUUGAGAUAUAGAGACUAGAGGAGCAGCAGACUGAGCUGCUGAGGAUUGAGGAUUUAUCAGCUUGAAGUUAUCGGGUAUAAUUUAUACCCUGCCUGUAAAUAUUUAUUUUGAUGUAUGUAUUGCACAUAAAUGUAUGGACAUGUAAAUUCGGUAUUGAGCAGCUUGUACAAAGUUUGUAUAAAGUUGUAAUAAAAUUUAGUUUGGAUUUUCCCAAUGUAGAUUUUAGUAUGAUGUAUAUAUAGAUUGUUUGUCUUUAAUGAAUGAAAAUGUUUUAUUUUAA